rnacentral:lncRNA from 1 species
CAUUUAUACCCUGCUCCAAGAGCUACAGCCAGACACGACUAGAAUUUGAAUUCCAAAUUGAAACAGAAUCCGUGUACAAAACGACUUAAAUAACUAAGGAAAACAUAAAACUAUCCUGUCGCGACAAACUAGGACACCUCUACCGAUCAAUCGGCAACCUUCAGGCUCUCCCUCAGCAUCAUCGGCAUACCUCCUUAUCGUAGCCAUCGGCACAAACACACCGCCACCUAUGAACUUAGUCAUAUUUGGCUAUCCCUUCAUCAGCAACCAUCCUUAUCGGCAACUCAUCCUGUAGACCAAGCACUGCUGUCUUGUCUUGCCGACCUGCAUUCUACCGAUCAUGGACACGUGCCCAAAAACGGUGUCAACAAAACCAACUUAGCAACAAACCAAGAUCGUAAUAGUUUAACAUAAUACAGCGGAUGUUACAUAGUCAUUCAUUGCCGACGAAGUGGCACCACAUCGGAGUUACUUAGUUAUUACAACACAAGUUUCAAGUAGCGGAAGCAAAAUAGUUU